rnacentral:lncRNA from 1 species
AUGGAGCAGGGGAGGAACAGGGACCCAACGGGUCUGCCUGUUGACGUAGUCCCACACGAAGGGUUGAGAUUGUCCCCGACUUUCCCUCAGGACUUCCUGAUAGCUAAGAGACCACAACCGCUGAUGCAGGAUCACAGACUUUUGAGUUCACAGCUCGAAACUUUCUCUGCCUCACCUCUUGUCCAGCUGCCGAUAUUCACAGCAGAAUGGGGGGAAGGGAGGAAAGAGAAUCCCCAGCAGCCUCCAUGCCCAGCACAGAGCCCAACCCGGGGCCCAAGCUCACAACCCCGAGAUCAUGACCUGAGCCGAAAUCAAGAGUGUGAUGCUUAACAUCCUGAGCCACCCAGGCGCCCCUGCAAAAUCCUAUCUCAGAGGACAAAAGUUGUCCAGACCUGGGCGCCCAGGCCACACAUUGCCAGAAAGUAGCACUUUGGGGUCCAGAGAGUUAGUGGAUUGGUAAACAUGCUUCAGAGUUCUUUGUUUCUUUGUGUUGUCUCCUUUCGUCCCUGGUUUGUUUUUGUAGGUGUCUGCCUUUCAUGGUAGAAGCUUUCCUCAAAUGUCUUGUCCCAGAAAGCCAGAUGCAUGUCUGGGGCUUCACCGAGCUCCCCUCAAGGGUGGGGUUGCGGUUUCCAAAGUGUCCUAUGCCGAUGUCCACUUCAUUCCUCCCAGUAGGCAGGCUCUCAUCUGUGCUUGGGUCCCCAGGGCACCGAGGUCUCAGCUUCUCUACUGAGUUACGGGUCAUGAUCAGCUGUUCAUGGUUUAAACACUGGGGCCCAUGUCUCUGCUUGCUCUCCUCUUUCACCCUCUUUGUCUUGUGGGUUCACACCAUUUUUAUUCAUUUGUGAUCCUUUUAGAGGGGUUUAGGGAGGAAAGCAUUUUAAGGCUGGAAGCCCAGGGAUGCCUGGGUGGCUCAGUUGUUAAGCGUCUGCCUUCAGCUCAGGUCAUGAUCCCUGCAUCGGGGGCUCCCUGCUCCGCGGGAAGCCUGCUUCUCCCUCUCCCACUCCCCCUGCUUGUGUUCCCUCUCUCACUGUCAAAUAAAUAAAUAAAAUCUUAAAAAAACAAAACAAAACUGGAAGCCCAACCAUAACUGUGACAUUUUAUUUCUUUUUUAAAGAGGGUCUGGAAUCUUCCUCCUCUACCCCCAAAGAGUGAAGAAGUUGAAGUUGAGCCAACGUGCAGACCACCCUUUGGAGGUGUUUCAUUAUAUAGGGAAGCAGGGAGGUGUGACACUAACAAGAAAGAGAUGUGGGGUCAAGGUGGGGGUGGGUUUUGUGAAAAGAAAAGAAAAGAAAAGAAAAGCAAAAAGAAGAGUCAAUCUCCUCCUAGAAAAAUGGAAUAGAAGUGUAAGGCAGGGGGCGCCUGGGUGGCUCAGUCGUUAAGCGUCUGCCUUCGGCUCAGGUCAUGAUCUCAGGGUCCUGGGAUCGAGCCCCACUUCGGGCUCCCUGCUCGGCGGGAAGCCUGCUUCUCCCUCUCCUGCUCCCCCUGCUUGUGUUCCCUCUCUCGCUGUGUCUCUCUCUGUCAAAUAAAUAAAAUCUUAAAAAAAAAAAAAAGAAGUGUAAGGCAGUGUUUUGUGGUUUUGAGUUGUGUGAUUAUGAAUUUAAAAUGAAACCGGUCAACUUUGUUGUGUGUUUUUUAUGCUGGCAGUUGGGUCCAGGCAGGGAAAAGGCAGGUAUGGGACUCAUCCAUACUUGGGUUUUUGCUUGGUGACUAGGAAAGAGGAGGAAGUGUAUUUCCAAGGGAGGGAUUGUACUGACGAUUCAGACCAUCUCUUCCCUGCCCACACAGAGGUGCCAUUUCAGAUGCUAGGGAUGAUCAGCAGCUCCCAGGGCCCUGUGUACCCCAAGGUUAGAGAGGUUCUCAGCCUCUACUUUAACCCCCACACCCCACAUCCCCCACACCCUGCCCCAGGAACCCCUUGACAGCUGGUGCACAGAACUCCCUGAGCCUGAGAAAUGCGGGAAAAUCUCAGAGAAAGGAAAAGAUAAAAGGUGCUUUCCAAAGGCUGAUGUGGGAGUCAUUUACCUUGAACUGAAAGAGUUGACCUUGCCAGAUUAUUUAUUUUUUAAGAUUUUAUUUAUUUAUCAGAGAGAGAGAGAGAGUACAAGUAGGGGGAGCGGCAGACAGAGGGAGAAGCAGACUCCCUCGCUGAGCAGGGAG